UCCAGGCUCUGAGCCGUCCGCACAGAGCCCGACGCGGGGCUCGAACUCACGGACCGCGAGAUCAUGACCGGAGCUGAGGUCAGUUGCGUAACCGACUGAGCCACCCAGGCGCCCUUAGUCUGACUUUAAAACUCACUCUCUGUCCAUUUCUCCAGACUGUCCCCGUCUGCGACAAGUCGGGCUGGGUUAGAACGCGCUCGAGAGACACGGGUGCGCUCCCCCCCUCCCCGCUGUCGCCCCAGCCCCUAGAGGCGUUGGACCGCGUGAGCCCCGACAAGUCAGGCCAGGGCGAGCGUGUAGUAGACUCCGCUGAUGCGUCACCCGCGUCAACCCGGCAGCACAGGAGGAGGAGGAUGCUGGGCCUGCCCCGAAUUUGCUUCCUGUGCCUUUGAGAUUUGGAGGGACACCGCACAGCACGAUGCCUCUCCUAGCACAAUAAUUUAAUGUUUCUUUCCCGUGCUUCGAACACUGCACUUCCUCCAGGAAGCCUUCCCGGAUUGAUUUUAUCUUAAAGAUGGAGAGAAAUGAUUUCAGUUUAGAGGACACAGAGCCAGAGCCGCUCAGCGCAUUGCCUGGCCCAGAUGGAAUGUUACCGGCAACGCUGUUGUCCCCGGACUCCUCGUCCUGUGCCCGUUCCCUUGUCCCCGCUGCCUCCCCAGUCCAGUAGGGAGAACGGAUGGUCCAGUGUGGUGGCCGGGGAUUUCCGAAACUAUGCCACUCCGUCUCGAUCGCCAGAUAUCCUUCCCUGUACUCACUCUCCUCCCACGUCUGACACAGGCGUUGUUGGUCUCAAAUAAAAAGUCGCUGAACUGUCA